rnacentral:ncRNA from 2 species
CACUAAAAUUGCGCCGUUGGUGCUCGCAUCGUGGUUCACACGAAGCAGUUCAACGGGAAGCAGGAGGGUGAAGCUUUAACAAGCCAACCUAACCUGCGCUGCCCCCGCAACGGUAAGUGGACGCAUCUUUUUGAUGCCGCUUUGAUCAUUGUCACUGAGCGUUCUGAACACGCGCUUGGGAAGGCGAUCAAGGUUGAUUCCACCAGCCCGGAUACCGGCCAACACGGUGGCUGUGCG